rnacentral:tRNA from 1 species
GGGGUUGUGGCUCAGUGGUGGAGUACUUGGCUCAAGCUCAUGAGGCACUGAGUUUGAUCCUCAGCAUCACAU